UACAGAGGGUGCGAGCGUUAAUCGGAAUUACUGGGCGUAAAGCGCGCGUAGGCGGCUUUGCAAGUCGGGUGUGAAAUCCCCAAGCUCAACUUGGGAACUGCAUUCGAGACUGCAUUGCUAGAGUAUGGGAGAGGGAAGUGGAAUUUCAGGUGUAGCGGUGAAAUGCGUAGAUAUCUGAAGGAACAUCAGUGGCGAAAGCGACCUCCUGGACCAAUACUGACGCUCAUGUGCGAAAGCGUGGGGAGCAAACAGG
rnacentral:rRNA from 1 species